rnacentral:rRNA from 1 species
AGUCAAGUAAUUAAGUGCAUGUGGUGGAUGCCUUGGCAGUCAGAGGCGAUGAAAGACGUGAUAGCCUGCGAAAAGCUCCGGGGAGGCGGCAAAUAUCCUUUGAUCCGGAGAUGUCUGAAUGGGGGAACCCACCUACUUUAAGGUAGGUAUUGCAACAUGAAUACAUAGUGUUGCAAGGCGAACGAGGGGAAGUGAAACAUCUCAGUACCCUUAGGAAAAGAAAUCAAUUGAGAUUCCCUCAGUAGCGGCGAGCGAACGGGGAUCAGCCCAUUAAGUUAUGUGUGUUUUAGUGGAACGCUCUGGGAAGUGCGAACGUAGAGGGUGAUAUUCCCGUACACGAAAGGGCACACAUAAUGAUGACGAGUAGGGCGAGGCACGUGAAACCUUGUCUGAAUAUGGGGGGACCAUCCUCCAAGGCUAAAUACUCCUGACUGACCGAUAGUGAACCAGUACCGUGAGGGAAAGGCGAAAAGAACCCCUGUGAGGGGAGUGAAAUAGAUCCUGAAACCGCAUGCAUACAAGCAGUGGGAGCACCUUCGUGGUGUGACUGCGUACCUUUUGUAUAAUGGGUCAGCGACUUAUAUUCAGUAGCGAGGUUAACCGUAUAGGGGAGCCGUAGAGAAAUCGAGUCUUAAUAGGGCGUUUAGUUGCUGGGUAUAGACCCGAAACCAGGCGAUCUAUCCAUGAGCAGGUUGAAGGUUGGGUAACACUAACUGGAGGACCGAACCCACUGUCGUUGAAAAGCCAGGGGAUGACUUGUGGAUAGGGGUGAAAGGCUAAUCAAGCCUGGUGAUAGCUGGUUCUCCCCGAAAGCUAUUUAGGUAGCGCCUCGGACGAAUACCAUAGGGGGUAGAGCACUGUUUCGGCUAGGGGGUCAUCCCGACUUACCAAACCGAUGCAAACUCCGAAUACCUAUGAGUACUAUCCGGGAGACAGACUGCGGGUGCUAACGUCCGUAGUCAAGAGGAAAACAAUCCAGACCGCCAGCUAAGGCCCCAAAAUCAUAGUUAAGUGGGAAACGAUGUGGGAAGGCAUAGACAGCUAGGAGGUUGGCUUAGAAGCAGCCACCCUUUAAAGAAAGCGUAAUAGCUCACUAGUCGAGUCGGCCUGCGCGGAAGAUGUAACGGGGCUAAAACUAUGUGCCGAAGCUGCGGAUGUAUACUUUGUAUACGUGGUAGGGGAGCGUUCUGUAAGCCGAUGAAGGUGUGUUGAGAAGCAUGCUGGAGGUAUCAGAAGUGCGAAUGCUGACGUGAGUAACGACAAAACGGGUGAAAAACCCGUUCGCCGAAAGACCAAGGGUUCCAGUCCAACGUUAAUCGGGGCUGGGUGAGUCGACCCCUAAGGCGAGGCCGAAAGGCGUAGUCGAUGGGAAAAUGGUUAAUAUUCCAUUACUUCUGUGUAAUGCGAUGAGAGGACGGAGAAGGCUAAAUCAGCCUGGCGUUGGUUGUCCAGGUGAAAGGAUGUAGGCAUGUAUCUUAGGCAAAUCCGGGGUACUCUAUGCUGAGAUCUGAUAGCAAGCUGUACUUGUACAGCGAAGUGGUUGAUGCCAUGCUUCCAGGAAAAGUCUCUAAGCUUCAGUUACACAGGAAUCGUACCCGAAACCGACACAGGUGGUCAGGUCGAGUAGACCAAGGCGCUUGAGAGAACUCUGCUGAAGGAACUAGGC